rnacentral:rRNA from 1 species
AUACRACUCACUAUAKGGGGAUGUGCUUCCUACUCGUGUAGAAGGCCUUUGGUUGUAAAGCACAUUUAAGCGAGGAGGAGGCUACCUGUAUUAAUACUAUAGGCUAGUGGACGUUACUCGCAGAAUAAGCACCGGCUAACUCUGUGCCAGCAGCCGCGGUAAUACAGAGGGUGCGAGCGUUAAUCGGAAUUACUGGGCGUAAAGCGCGCGUAGGCGGUUUGUUAAGUCGGAUGUGAAAUCCCCGGGCUCAACCUGGGAAUUGCAUUCGAUACUGGCAAGCUAGAGUAUGGGAGAGGAAGGUAGAAUUCCAGGUGUAGCGGUGAAAUGCGUAGAGAUCUGGAGGAAUACCGAUGGCGAAGGCAGCCUUCUGGCCUAAUACUGACGCUGAGGUGCGAAAGCAUGGGGAGCAAACAGGAUUAGAUACCCUGGUAGUCCAUGCCGUAAACGAUGUCAACUAGCCGUUGGGGGAUUUGAUCCUUUAGUGGCGCAGCUAACGCGAUAAGUUGACCGCCUGGGGAGUACGGUCGCAAGACUAAAACUCAAAUGAAACGCGAAGAACCUUAC